GUCGGGGCCUAAGGCGAGGUCGAAAGACGUAGUCGAUGGACAACAGGUUUAGAUUCCUGUACUUCAUGAUAUCAGAACUGUGGGGACACAGAGACAAAGGACGAGCCGGGAAUGGAAAAACCGGUGCAAGCGAGGUAGCUUCAUGGGAGGGAAAGCCCCCAUGUAUAAGGCGAAUGCGUGAAGCGUAGCGAACUUAAAAGUAGCGAAGCGUGUGGAGUCACUGUCAGGAAAAGCCGCUAUUGCGUAUCAUGAACCCGUACCGUAAACCGACACAGGUGGAUGAGGAGAGAAUCCUAAGGCCGACGGAAGAAGCAUUGUUAAGGAAUUCGGCAAAAUGACCCCGUAACUUCGGGAGAAGGGGUGCCUACGAAUGUAGGCCGCAGAGAAUUGGCCCAAGCAACUGUUUAGCAAAAACACAGGUUUAUGCGAAACCGAAAGGUGAAGUAUAUGAGCUGACGCCUGCCCGGUGCUGGAAGGUUAAGGGGAGAGCUUAGAGGCAACUCGAAGGUUCGAACUUAAGCCCCAGUAAACGGCGGCCGUAACAAUAACGGUCCUAAGGUAGCGAAAUUCCUUGUCGGGUAAGUUCCGACCCGCACGAAAGGCGUAAUGAUUUGGGCACUGUCUCGACAAUGCAUCCGGUGAAAUUGAAAUACCAGUGAAGAUGCUGGUUACCCGCGCCAGGACGGAAAGACCCCAUGGAGCUUUACUCCAGUAUGAUGCUGGGAUUCGGUACUGCAUGUACAGGAUAGGCGGGAGACUAGGAAGAUAUAACGCCAGUUGUAUCAGAGUCGCUGUUGGGAUACCGCCCUUGUAGUACUGGGUUUCUAACCUGCCACCGUGAACCGGUGGAGGGACAACGUCAGGCGGGGAGUUUGACUGGGGCGGUCGCCUCCGAAAGGGUAUCGGAGGCGCUCAAAGGUUCCCUCAGAAUGGUUGGAAACCAUUCGAAGAGUGCAAAGGCAGAAGGGAGCUUGACUGCGAGGUCGACGGACCGAGCAGGUACGAAAGUAGGACUUAGUGAUCCGGUGGUAGAAAGUGGGAUUGCCAUCGCUCAACGGAUAAAAGCUACCCUGGGAUAACAGGCUAAUCACUCCCAAGAGUUCUCAUCGACGGAGUGGUUUGGCACCUCGAUGUCGGCUCAUCGCAUCCUGGGGCUGUAGCAGGUCCCAAGGGUUGGGCUGUUCGCCCAUUAAAGCGGUACGCGAGCUGGGUUCAGAACAUCGUGAGACGGUUCGGUCCCUAUCCGGCGCGGGCGUAGGAUAUCUGAAAGGAGCUGGCCUUAGUACGAGAGGACCGGGCUGGACGGACCGCUGGUGUAUCUGUUGUCAUACCAAUGGCAUAGCAGGGUAGCCAAGUCUGGAAGGGAUAAACGCUGAAGGCAUCUAAGCGUGAAGCCCCCCUUAAGAUAAGAUAUCCCUGGAGUUAAUCCAGUAAGACCCCUUGAAGACGACGAGGUAGAUAGGGCAGAGGUGGAAGUGUGGUAACACAUGGAGCUGACUGUCACUAAUAGGUCGAGGGCUUGACCG
rnacentral:rRNA from 1 species